rnacentral:rRNA from 1 species
CCUACGGGAGGCUGCAGUGGGGAAUAUUGGACAAUGGGGGGAACCCUGAUCCAGCCAUGCCGCGUGUGUGAAGACGGCCCUCGGGUUGUAAAGCACUUUCAGUGAGGAAGAACGCCUGGUGGUUAAUACCCAUCAGGAAAGACAUCACUCACAGAAGAAGCACCGGCUAACUCCGUGCCAGCAGCCGCGGUAAUACGGAGGGUGCGAGCGUUAAUCGGAAUUACUGGGCGUAAAGCGCGCGUAGGUGGCUUGAUAAGCCGGUUGUGAAAGCCCCGGGCUCAACCUGGGAACGGCAUCCGGAACUGUCAAGCUAGAGUGCAGGAGAGGAAGGUAGAAUUCCCGGUGUAGCGGUGAAAUGCGUAGAGAUCGGGAGGAAUACCAGUGGCGAAGGCGGCCUUCUGGACUGACACUGACACUGAGGUGCGAAAGCGUGGGUAGCAAACAGGAUUAGAUACCCGAGUAGUC